rnacentral:sRNA from 1 species
UCAAACAUACGUAAACAUGGAAGAGGA